UCCCUGUGGCAUGGAGAUGAACACAGUGAACAGUGGAAGCUGCAGAUUGUUGUUGCUGACAUUCUGUUUAUCAACAAUAGAAAUAAGCUUAUGGCUCCUCUCAAGUUCCAAAUGCUCUCUGCACCCAGAAGUUCAUUGUCCAACAGUUUUCCUACAAGGACAUUGCAGAAGACUCCAUAAGGCACAUGUCAGAUAAAUGCCUGCUCAAGGUCCGAAGUAGAAUCAGACUAACAAAAUGAAAACAGGUUGUAUUUCUUUUUUAAUUUAUUAAAGGGUUGUCAGAGGAACACUUGGUUCACAUGAGUACCCUGAAGGUUAACACUGGAGUUCCCAAGUUAGAGCUCUUGACACGAUCUUGACCCUCCUCAUCUUCUCUGCUUCUCACAUUGGCUGAUAUUUUCAGAGCUGUUCUACACCUUCUUCACUGACUUAAAAUAUUUAUAUCAGGACCACUGUGUUAAUCCCAGUGCCUACAAUUAACAUUUUCAUGUGUGGGCAUGCUUUA